ACGGAAGGCAGCAGUGGGGAAUAUUGGGCAAUGGGCGAAAGCCUGACCCAGCGACGCCGCGUGAAGGAAGAAGGCCUUCGGGUUGUAAACUUCAGUCAACAGGGAAGAAACAAAUGACGGUACCUGUGGAGGAAGCCACGGCUAACUACGUGCCAGCAGCCGCGGUAAUACGUAGGUGGCGAGCGUUAUCCGGAUUUACUGGGUGUAAAGGGUGUGUAGGCGGGACUGCAAGUCAGAUGUGAAAAUUAUGGGCUCAACCCAUAACCUGCAUUUGAGACUGUGGUUCUUGAGUGUCGGAGAGGUAAAUGGAAUUCCCAGUGUAGCGGUGAAAUGCGUAGAUAUUGGGAGGAACACCAGUGGCGAAGGCGGUUUACUGGACGACAACUGACGCUGAGACACGAAAGCGUGGGGAGCAAACAGGAUUAGAUACCCUGGUA
rnacentral:rRNA from 1 species